rnacentral:rRNA from 1 species
UACGAAGGGGGCUAGCGUUGCUCGGAAUCACUGGGCUUAAAGGGCGCGUAGGCGGCUUACCAAGUCCGGGGUGAAAUUUUGCGGCUUAACCGUAACAGUGCCUUGGAUACUGGUAGGCUCGAGGGAGAUAGGGGUCUGCGGAACUUCCGGUGGAGCGGUGAAAUGCGUUGAUAUCGGAAGGAACGCCGGUGGCGAAAGCGGCGGACUGGAUCUCUUCUGACGCUGAGGCGCGAAAGCUAGGGGAGCAAACGGG